rnacentral:lncRNA from 10 species
GAAAGACAACAUCUGAAAAUUCUGCCUGAUAGAUAGAGAGAAGCAUCCUGGCAAGAGACACGGAGCUGACAGACGAAGAGAUGCACGUCUGACAGAAUUGGGACUAUUCACCCAAAAACAAGAAAAGAUGAUGUAGAUACUGCUGGUUUGGACUGGCUCAGAGAGAAAAGAAACAAAUAGAUGGGAGUACGUGCCAAGGGUCACUGAUGCUUCCAGAGGGCAGUGGCCUCGGCUGUCUUACUCAAGGCUGAAUUCUUAGCCCCUACAAGACUCAUGCCUGGCAUGUAACAAGUGCACAGCCAGUUUUCCUCCAAUGAAUGAGGGGCUUUCUCAGAAUAAAGUUUUUGUAAUCAGAGACCAAGACAGCCACUGAUUCUCUGCAGCCUUGAAGUCUGUCUUUUCUGAAUAUCCAGACAGAGGACAAGUCUUGAUUAUAACGAUCAUUAGCCUAGAGUACUGCCCAGUUCUGAACUCAAGGAUAAGAAUCCCCUCCAAGCUCCUGCCAGGCUGUCUCCACACUCUGACAUCACAUCCUGCCUCUUUGAUUAGGUUUCACAGUGAAUUUUGCCCCUCCCAAACACACUUUGUUAAUCUUUUUUAGGUCUGGGAAUUCAGCCAAAAAUUCCUGAAGGAUGAAUUCCUUUUCCUCGGUGAGGUUGACAUUUGAGCACACAUCGCCCUCUUGUGUCUACGACACAUUUGGCAACGUAGUUUCCAGCACCUGCUAAUGCACACAGCAAAUUGAAGCCUUGUUAACAUCCCUUAAGCCUGCAGACCUCGGUACAAGGCGGAGGGAGAACAAACGCACCAAUUUUCCCAGAAUAGUCAAGAACAUCCAGAAGAAUCCAGAAUUUGUGAAGAUGGUGGACCUUACCUUCCGAAAACUGCUAUCAGGGCCUCUGCAGGAGGCCCUGGCUGUGAUAAAUGUGCAUCUGUAGAGUGCACAACCUGAACAUCCUUACCAAGCAGCCCUGACCAAUAUCUUCCUGCCUAAAGAGUGCCAAUGCUGAGAGUAUGCCUUUAAAACCCCAUUUUGGCCAUUUCUCAAGAAGUAAGUGAGACUUGUACUUCCCUAUCUCCCCUUAAGGGGAGUCCCCAGUGCAUUAGUGGUAGAGCUCUCCCUAAGGACUUUUGUGUGCGUCUCCACCCUCUGUUCUUCUAGGUGCAUCCUGUUUUUAAUGGGGCAUAAUCUCUUACCUCAAAAGAGCAAAGCUCCACUGGCAAACCUCUAGACCACAUUAGUGAUCAGCAAGUAAGGGGGACAUUUGGUGCAGCAUCACAUUUCUGACAUCCCUUCAUGCUUUUUAUGUCUGACUCUGUCAUCUCUGCUAAAAGAAGCCUCUCUUUUUAUUUCCUUUUUUUCUUCUAGUUUUUUUUUUUGUUUUUUUUUUUUUUUUGUAGACAGGGCCUAGUGGUCUUCCUAGGCUGGUCUCAAACUUCUGGACUCAAGGGAUAUUCCCACCUCAGCCUCCCAAACUGUUGGGAUUACAGGCGUGAGCCAU